GCUCGCCGCCUCAGUCUCGCCCCGACCAGCGUACGGGCCGUUCGCCCGCUCGACGCGUUCGAAAAAUAAAACUAGUUUGUUCCCAAGCGACGUUACCCCAGUGUGUUAUAGACAAAAAACUGUUAGUGUACGUGUUGUUUUUUAUGGUGAACGAAACGCGUGGUUCAAGUUAUGCGGGUUCCUCGCGAGCACCUUGUAUAAUCCGGCAUCCAAACCGAGAGCGAACAGACACCUUCUGGGCGAGCUCAGUCCAUCGUAGGCCACGUCUUUCGACUAGGCUACUCUGUGACCAUGAGUAAGCCAUUACUGUAAAAAUAUCUUCGUUGAUCGUGCACAUUUAUAGGAUGAAUCACAUUGUAUUGUAACUAGGACCACAGAAUAUAUAAUAGU
rnacentral:misc_RNA from 1 species